UACGGAGGGUGCGAGCGUUGUCCGGAAUCACUGGGCGUAAAGGGCGCGUAGGUGGCUACUUAAGCGUGUGGUGAAAGUCCGGGGCUCAACCCCGGAUCGGCCGUGCGAACUGGGUGGCUUGAGCACUGUAGAGGCAGGUGGAAUUCCGGGUGUAGCGGUGGAAUGCGUAGAGAUCCGGAAGAACACCGGUGGCGAAGGCGGCCUGCUGGGCAGUGGCUGACACUGAGGCGCGACAGCGUGGGGAGCAAACAGG
rnacentral:rRNA from 1 species